CUUCGAAAGACUGAAAAUAGCUAUAUAGAAAAGGUUUAUUCCACACUCCAUCUGCUUGGAUAUGUCUAGAGGAAAUAUGCCAUUCUUUACAAGAGGAGAAAUUAACACUUUCAUCGUAAUAUAAACAUUCAUAUUGACUCUGUCCAACCAAAACCAUGCCCUGGCACAUACAGGACAUUGGCUCAACAACCUACAAUGUUACAGUACAGAGCCGGUCUCUGCUUGGACAGCUGGGCCAGGAUCUUCAACAGGGAUGAAAAGUCAACUUCUCCAAUAGGGCCUGUCCACACAAUGGCUUGGAUCAUGUGAGCAAAUGCGUUUUCCAGUGUUUUGUGCUAGAAUGGGCUCCCAUCAGGCAGGGAUUUUUGACGCUGAGAAUUCUGCUCGCCUCAAACCGUGCCUACGCUCAUGAGGUUGCCAGCAGCAGUUUCUCAACAGAGCUGUAACUCUGUCAACGUGCAAAAGGUGGGCCAAAUGGAUGGAGAUGCUUCGCUGGACAUCACUAGUGUUGUUAAUAAAACCCCAUGCCUCCA